rnacentral:rRNA from 1 species
UACAGAGGGUGCGAGCGUUUGUCCGGAAUCACUGGGCGUAAAGGGCGCGUAGGUGGCGCGACAAGUCAGUGGUGAAAGUUCGACGCUCAACGUCGAAUCGGCCACUGAUACUGUUGGGCUUGAGCACUGUAGAGGCUAAUGGAAUUCCGGGUGUAGCGGUGGAAUGCGUAGAGAUCCGGAAGAACACCAGUGGCGAAGGCGGCCCGCUGGGCAGUGGCUGACGCUGAGGCGCGACAGCGUGGGGAGCAACAGG